rnacentral:misc_RNA from 1 species
CCGAGAAUAUACAGAUCCCAAGUGAUUCUAAAGCAAGUGUAACAUCAUAGAAAACUCGUGGCCUUCCCUUUCCAGAUAGUUCAACUGGAUUAGCAACCAGAAGUUCAGUAUCAGGCCCUCGAUUUGCAAUAAUCACACGUAAUGGGUGAAGCAUUUCAACCUUCAAGUGAGAACACAAUGCGUUUUGCUUCUCCAGAUCCACUAUCUUCUUCCCAUCCUUUUGCUGAAUAAAUAGGUCUAAAUCACGAUAUCCAUUGUUGUUUGCUGAGAAUCGACCAUAAGCUAUCUGGGUAACAAGAAACAACAAUAAUAACAUUAUGUCAAUAAACUGGAAACAGAAUGGUUGUCUGCAUAAAUGCAAUGCAAACAAUAUCAAAUAAAUAUGAUAAGUGAUAAUUUAAUUAAAUGGUACAUAUUUAGGGCAAUUUUUUUAUUCCCAAAAUGGUAUCUAGUCAUUUAUAUCAUAGAUAAAUUAAAAAAAAAACCUUUUCUUUGGAAGUGCAUUGAUAGCCCAAGGGCAAUUUAGAAAUGUACCAGGUUGAGGUAAUUGAACUCCAAUCACAUCAUCAUGGAAACCAUUCACACAAUAUGAUGGCUAGGAUCCCAUAAAAGUACCAUAAACUGAUAAAAUAACAUAACCCACAACGCCUCUAUAUAGAGGAUUAAAACACUAAUCAUAACCAAUCCAGACCAUACCUCUACUAAAUGAAUAUCAUGGAAUGUACAAACCAAUACCUGCAUAUUGCAGUCUUUCAAAGUUCUCAUUACAUCAUAAAGUAGACCCUUUUGAUCAAUGCAGUGUACUUGAAGCAAUGUAUGAGCAGGGCUCAAUGAAUUGUCUAUAGUUACAUUGGUCUUUUUCAAUUUCGUCAUAUCAGGACUAAGAGCUUGUGAAUGGAUUUCUUUAUCUGAUAUGUCACAAAAAAAUAAUUCUUCUGCAAUAACAGGAGAAAGAGAAGACAUGCCCUGAUGACACUCGUACUCAGGGCCUGUCAGCUGAAGUUCACAGCUGAUACAUGAUUCGCCUAACACAGCAUGCAAUUGUUCAAAUGUCUCAUCUUGUCGUUCUUUUGUGUGUAGCAACUCCAUGUUAUCUGUAAUGAAGAAGAGGUCCAGGACUCUGCCAUCUGGGGUAGUCGUAACCUUAACUCUUUGAAUUGUCAGCUCAAGUUCAGAGAGAGCCUGAGUAACAUCAUGUAGUAAUCCUUUUCUAUCAAGGCAAAAAAACUUCAACAAGUAAACUGGAGAUGAAGUGGAUGGCGGGGGCUGUUGGUUUAAGUAAAAGAAGACUGAACACGAUGGACAAAUAGAUAGAAGACGGUUCUUCAAAUUUGACCAUCUUACGAGCAAGCGGGAAUGAGGAAUCACCCAGAAUACCAUAUAGCACCACUUUCCAUCAGUGGAAACAUCUCCUUUGGUGACGUAAAGGCCAAAGUCGAGAAUUAUUCUACAAAUAUCGCAAGCGAGACCAGUCUUAUCGGGGCAAUUAACGGUGACAACAUGAGGCUCUCCUGGCUUCUUCCCUUUCUGGAUGACAACCGCGUCGUCGCUCGGCACUCCCAUGGCAGAAACGGGCGAGGACAGAACAAAAUGCGUGAAUCAGGUUACAGCUAAAGAGCACCACUCUCGUUAACUUUCCCUUUCCACUGCGAUUUCCAAGCCUUUCUCCGGAUUUCUACUAAAAUCUGAAACCUUCAAAGAGGAGAUAAUCAGAUAAACCUGGGACGGAGAGGAAGGAGAGACGAAGGUAGGUAGGUACCGAAUCCGUCUCCACUUGGUGAGUGUUUUCGUUUGUGUAGAGCAGGGACAGAACGCACAAGCCAAGUCAGCAAAUCAGGGACCUUGAACUUGACUCGUGGCGAAACUGUGGUGGUCGGAUA